AGUCGAGCGGUAGCACAGGGAGCUUGCUCCUGGGUGACGAGCGGCGGACGGGUGAGUAAUGUCUGGGAAACUGCCUGAUGGAGGGGGAUAACUACUGGAAACGGUAGCUAAUACCGCAUAACGUCGCAAGACCAAAGAGGGGGACCUUCGGGCCUCUUGCCAUCAGAUGUGCCCAGAUGGGAUUAGCUAGUAGGUGGGGUAAUGGCUCACCUAGGCGACGAUCCCUAGCUGGUCUGAGAGGAUGACCAGCCACACUGGAACUGAGACACGGUCCAGACUCCUACGGGAGGCAGCAGUGGGGAAUAUUGCACAAUGGGCGCAAGCCUGAUGCAGCCAUGCCGCGUGUAUGAAGAAGGCCUUCGGGUUGUAAAGUACUUUCAGCGAGGAGGAAGGCGGUGAGGUUAAUAACCUCAUCGAUUGACGUUACUCGCAGAAGAAGCACCGGCUAACUCCGUGCCAGCAGCCGCGGUAAUACGGAGGGUGCAAGCGUUAAUCGGAAUUACUGGGCGUAAAGCGCACGCAGGCGGUCUGUCAAGUCGGAUGUGAAAUCCCCGGGCUCAACCUGGGAACUGCAUUCGAAACUGGCAGGCUAGAGUCUUGUAGAGGGGGGUAGAAUUCCAGGUGU
rnacentral:rRNA from 1 species